UACGUAGGGUGCAAGCGUUGUCCGGAAUUAUUGGGCGUAAAGAGCUUGUAGGCGGUUUGUCGCGUCUGCUGUGAAAUUUCGGGGCUCAACCCCGAACUUGCAGUGGGUACGGGCAGGCUAGAGUGUGGUAGGGGAGACUGGAAUUCCUGGUGUAGCGGUGAAAUGCGCAGAUAUCAGGAGGAACACCGAUGGCGAAGGCAGGUCUCUGGGCCACUACUGACGCUGAGGAGCGAAAGCGUGGGGAGCGAACAGG
rnacentral:rRNA from 1 species